GACGAACCGUGCGAACGUUGUUCGAAAUCACUGGGCUUAAAGGGCGCGUAGGCGGGCUGUCAAGUCUGGGGUGAAAUGCCGCGGCUCAACCGUGGAACUGCCUUAGAUACUGACGGCCUCGAGGGAGGUAGGGGCGUGCGGAACUGUAGGUGGAGCGGUGAAAUGCGUUGAUAUCUACAGGAACUCCGGUGGCGAAAGCGGCGCGCUGGACCUCUUCUGACGCUGAGGCGCGAAAGCUAGGGGAGCAAACGGG
rnacentral:rRNA from 1 species